rnacentral:rRNA from 1 species
GAUGAACGCUGGCGGCGUGCUUAACACAUGCAAGUCGAACGGAAAGGCUCCUGCUUGCAGGGGUACUCGAGUGGCGAACGGGUGAGUAACACGUGGGUGAUCUGCCCUGCACUUCGGGAUAAGCCUGGGAAACUGGGUCUAAUACCGGAUAGGACCACAUUUUGGAUGGUGUGGUGGAAAGUUUUUCGGUGUGGGAUGAGCUCGCGGCCUAUCAGCUUGUUGGUGGGGUAAUGGCCUACCAAGGCGUCGACGGGUAGCCGGCCUGAGAGGGUGUACGGCCACAUUGGGACUGAGGUACGGCCCAGACUCCUACGGGAGGCAGCAGUGGGGAAUAUUGUACAAUGGGCGCAAGCCUGAUGCAGCGACGCCGCGUGGGGGAUGACGGCCUUCGGGUUGUAAACUCCUUUCGCUAGGGACGAAGCGCAAGUGACGGUACCUGGAGAAGAAGCACCGGCUAACUACGUG